CCUACGGGGGGCUGCAGUGGGGAAUAUUGGACAAUGGGCGAAAGCCUGAUCCAGCCAUGCCGCGUGUGUGAAGAAGGCCUUCGGGUUGUAAAGCACUUUCAGUGGGGAAGAAAGCCUUGGGGCUAAUACCCUCGAGGAAGGACAUCACCCACAGAAGAAGCACCGGCUAACUCCGUGCCAGCAGCCGCGGUAAUACGGAGGGUGCGAGCGUUAAUCGGAAUUACUGGGCGUAAAGCGCGCGUAGGCGGUCUGAUAAGCCGGUUGUGAAAGCCCCGGGCUCAACCUGGGAACGGCAUCCGGAACUGUCAGGCUAGAGUGCAGGAGAGGAAAGUAGAAUUCCCGGUGUAGCGGUGAAAUGCGUAGAGAUCGGGAGGAAUACCAGUGGCGAAGGCGGCCUUCUGGACUGACACUGACGCUGAGGUGCGAAAGCGUGGGUAGCAAACAGGAUUAGAUACCCUUGUAGUC
rnacentral:rRNA from 1 species